AACAGCUCAAAUUUGAAAUCUGGCGCAAGCCCGAGUUGUAAUUUGUAGAGGAUGCUUCUGGGUAGCGGCCGGUCUAAGUUCCUUGGAACAGGACGUCACAGAGGGUGAGAAUCCCGUAUGUGAUCGGCCCGCGCCCUCUACGUAGCUCCUUCGACGAGUCGAGUUGUUUGGGAAUGCAGCUCUAAAUGGGAGGUAAAUUUCUUCUAAAGCUAAAUACCGGCCAGAGACCGAUAGCGCACAAGUAGAGUGAUCGAAAGAUGAAAAGCACUUUGGAAAGAGAGUUAAACAGCACGUGAAAUUGUUGAAAGGGAAGCGCUUGCAACCAGACUUGACGGCGGUGUUCCCCCGGGCUUCUGCCCGGGUUACUCACCGUCUUCAGGCCAUCAUCGUCUGGGGCCGCCGGAGAAACCGUCAGGAAUGUGGCUCCCUCGGGAGUGUUAUAGCCUGUCGACAUGCGGCGUGCCCCGGGCGAGGUCCGCGCUUAGGCAAGGAUGAUGGCGUAAUGGUUGUCAGCGGCCCGUCUUGAAACACGGACCAAGGAGUCUAACAUCUAUGCGAGUGUUCGGGUGUCAAACCCCUACGCGUAAUGAAAGUGAACGGAGGUGGGAGCUUCGGCGCACCAUCGACCGAUCCUGAUGUCCUCGGAUGGAUUUGAGUAAGAGCAUAGCUGUUGGGACCCGAAAGAUGGUGAACUAUGCCUGAAUAGGGUGAAGCCAGAGGAAACUCUGGUGGAGG
rnacentral:rRNA from 1 species